rnacentral:rRNA from 1 species
GACGAACGCUGGCGGCGCGCUUAACACAUGCAAGUCGAGCGAAGCGGCGGACGGGUGAGUAACACGUGAGUAACCCGCCUUAGACAUUGGGCUAGCCUAGGGAAAUCGGGAUUAAUAAUAAAUGGUCUAAGAUGGACUCGCGUCCCAUUAGCUAGUUGGUGGGUAACGGCCCACCAAGGCGACGAUGGGUAGCCGGCGUGAGCGGGUUAACGGCCACAUUGGAACUGAGAAACGGUCCAAACUCUUCGGGAGGCAGCAGUGGGGAAUAGUGCACAAUGGAUGGAACUCUGAUGCAGCGACGCCGCGUGAACGAAUAAGGCUUUCGAGUCGUAAAGUUCUUUUAUAUGGGAAGCGGUACCAUAAGAAAAAGCCCCGGCUAACUACGUGCCAGCAGCCGCGGUAAUUC